GACGAACGCUGGCGGCGUGCCUAAUACAUGCAAGUUGAGCGCUGAAGGUUGGUACUUGUACCAACUGGAUGAGCAGCGAACGGGUGAGUAACGCGUGGGGAAUCUGCCUUUGAGCGGGGGACAACAUUUGGAAACGAAUGCUAAUACCGCAUAAAAACUUUAAACACAAGUUUUAAGUUUGAAAGAUGCAAUUGCAUCACUCAAAGAUGAUCCCGCGUUGUAUUAGCUAGUUGGUGAGGUAAAGGCUCACCAAGGCGAUGAUACAUAGCCGACCUGAGAGGGUGAUCGGCCACAUUGGGACUGAGACACGGCCCAAACUCCUACGGGAGGCAGCAGUAGGGAAUCUUCGGCAAUGGAAGAAAGUCUGACCGAGCAACGCCGCGUGAGUGAAGAAGGUUGUCGGAUCGUAAAACUCUGUUGGUAGAGAAGAACGUUGGUGAGAGUGGAAAGCUCAUCAAGUGACGGUAACUACCCAGAAAGGGACGGCUAACUACGUG
rnacentral:rRNA from 1 species